rnacentral:rRNA from 1 species
GACGAACGCUGGCGGCGUGCCUAAUACAUGCAAGUCGAACGAAGUGGGGACGGGUGAGUAACACGUGGGUAACCUCCCCUCAGAGGGGAUAACACUUGGAAACAGGUGAUAAACCGAUAUUGAUGGCUGGACCCGCGGGGCAUUAGCUAGUGGGUGAGGUAACGGCUCACCAAGGCCACGCUGCAUAGACGACGUGAGAGCGUGUUGUGCAACACGGGGAGUGAGACACGGCCCAGACUGCUGCGGGGGGGAGCAGUAGGGAGGCUGCGGCAAUGGACGAAAGUCGGACCGAGCAACGCCGCGGGAGUGAAGAAGGUUUUCGGAUCGUAAAACGCUGUUGUUAGAGAAGCGGUAUCUAACCAGAAGGCCACGGCAAACUACGGGCCAGCAGCGGCGGUAAGUC